rnacentral:rRNA from 1 species
AACACGCUGGCGGCGUGGCUAAGACAUGCAAGUCGAACGGACUAUUGAAUUGGGUAACCGAGACAAUAGUUAGUGGCGAAAGGGUGAGGAAUGGAUAGGUAACGUACCUUUGGCUUCGGAAUAGCGUCCCGAAAGGGGCGGUAAUACCGGAUGAUAUCACGAAUUGUAAGGUUUGUGAUCAAAGAUUUAUCGGCCAGAGAGCGGCCUAUUCCCUAUCAGCUAGUUGGUGAGGUAACGGCUCACCAAGGCGACGACGGGUAGCGGGACUGAGAGGUUGGCCCGCCACAUCGGGACUGAGACACUGCCCGGACCUCCACGGAGGGCUGCAGUAACGAAUAUUGGGCAAUGGGCGAAAGCCUGACCCAGCGACGCCGCGUGCAGGAUGAAGUCCUUCGGGAUGUAAACUGCUGUCAGGGAUUAGAAAGCUUCGGUUGAUCAAUCCCAGAGGAAGUCACGGCUAACUUCGUG